GACGAACGCUGGCGGCGUGCCUAAUACAUGCAAGUCGAACGAAGUGGGGACGGGUGAGUAACAAGUGGGUAACCUCCCAUCAGAGGGGAUAAAACUUGGAAACAGGUGCUAAAACGAUACUGAUGGAUGGACCCGCGGUGCAUUAGCUAGUUGGUGAGGUAACGGCUCACAAAGGCCACGGAUCAAAGCCGACCUGCGAGGGUGAUCGGCCACACUGGGACUGAGUCACGGCCCAGACUCCUACGGGAGGCAGCAGUGGGGAAUCUUCUGCAAUUGACGAAAGUCUGACCGAGCAACGCCGCGUGAGUGAAGAAGGUUUUCGGAUCGUAAAGCUCUGUUGUUAGAGAAGCGUUAUCUAACCAGAAAGCCACGGCUAACUACGUGCCAGCCGCCGCGGUAAUAC
rnacentral:rRNA from 1 species